GAUGAACGCUGGCGGCGUGCCUAAUACAUGCAAGUCGAACGCUUUGUGGUUCAACUGAUAUGAAGAGCUUGCUCGGAUUUGACGAUGGACAUUGCAAAGAGUGGCGAACGGGUGAGUAACACGUGGGAAACCUACCUCUUAGCAGGGGAUAACAUUUGGAAACAAAUGCUAAUACCGUAUAACAAUGACAACCGCAUGGUUGUUAUUUGAAAGAUGGUUCUGCUAUCACUAAGAGAUGGUCCCGCGGUGCAUUAGUUAGUUGGUGAGGUAAUGGCUCACCAAGACGAUGAUGCAUAGCCGAGUUGAGAGACUGAUCGGCCACAAUGGGACUGAGACACGGCCCAUACUCCUACGGGAGGCAGCAGUAGGGAAUCUUCCACAAUGGGCGAAAGCCUGAUGGAGCAACGCCGCGUGUGUGAUGAAGGGUUUCGGCUCGUAAAACACUGUUGUAAGAGAAGAAUGACAUUGAGAGUAACUGUUCAAUGUGUGACGGUAUCUUACCAGAAAGGAACGGCUAAAUACGUGCCAGCAGCCGCGGUAAUACGUAUGUUCCAAGCGUUAUCCGGAUUUAUUGGGCGUAAAGCGAGCGCAGACGGUUAUUUAAGUCUGAAGUGAAAGCCCUCAGCUCAACUGAGGAAUUGCUUUGGAAACUGGAUGACUUGAGUGCAGUAGAGGAAAGUGGAACUCCAUGUGUAGCGGUGAAAUGCGUAGAUAUAUGGGAAGAACACCAGUGGCGAAGGCGGCUUUCUGGACUGUAACUGACGUUGAGGCCUCGAAAGUGUGGGUAGCAACAGGAUUAGAUACCCUGGUAGUCCACACCGUAAACGAUGAGUGCUAGGUGUUUGGGGGUUUCCGCCCCCUAAGUGCCGGAGCUAACGCAUUAAGCACUCCGCCUGGGGAGUACGACCGCAAGGUUGAAACUCAAAGGAAUUGACGGGGACCCGCACAAGCGGUGGAGCAUGUGGUUUAAUUCGAAGCAACGCGAAGAACCUUACCAGGUCUUGACAUCCCUUGACAACUCCAGAGAUGGAGCGUUCCCUUCGGGGACAAGGUGACAGGUGGUGCAUGGUUGUCGUCAGCUCGUGUCGUGAGAUGUUGGGUUAAGUCCCGCAACGAGCGCAACCCUUAUUACUAGUUGCCAGCAUUUAGUUGGGCACUCUAGUGAGACUGCCGGUGACAAACCGGAGGAAGGUGGGGAUGACGUCAAAUCAUCAUGCCCCUUAUGACCUGGGCUACACACGUGCUACAAUGGCGUAUACAACGAGUUGCCAACCCGCGAGGGUGAGCUAAUCUCUUAAAGUACGUCUCAGUUCGGAUUGUAGGCUGCAACUCGCCUACAUGAAGUCGGAAUCGCUAGUAAUCGCGGAUCAGCACGCCGCGGUGAAUACGUUCCCGGGUCUU
rnacentral:rRNA from 1 species